UGUCUCUGUCCCUCUUUCUUGCUCGUUCGGCUCGUUCUUAACGUCAAACCACUUAGGGCCGCGGACCUCGACAGUCAGUCGAUCUUUCCUAGCAGCAGCAUUCCGGCAUUUUCCACCUGAUCGCGCGCGGGCGGUCCGGCAAACGCCAUUUUGUUCGGUCACACGUUUCUCUGUCGGUUUUUCUCGCGAGAGAGAACAGAGAAAUUCUCGUGCGUAAAAAACAAACGUUCGCAUGUGCCGCGCACCCUUCCACGCCCCGUGGAACACCUGCGUUUACCGAAAACACAACAAACGAAGGCGACGCACUUUGUAACACGAGAGACGUACACACGCGCGCGCGUUUUGUUGUUGUCGUCGUCGUCGUUGUCGUCAUUGUCGUCGGUCCGUCGAGGCUGUCGUUGAUCGUGUGUCGUCGUCGUCGUUGUCGUCGUGUGGUGCCGGUGGUUUUACACGUCAAACGUACGACGGGGGUUCCAUCGGACAAGAAGGGACGGAAACCUAGCGAUCGCGACGGAUUAACGGACCACCAGGCGUUGCUGGUUUGUCCAUCGACGACGAGUACCCGCACGGAACACGGAGUGCGUGACCCCGGGCGCGUGGUGUUCUCCUCUCUGCGCUGCACGUUUUUUUUUGUUGUUCUUUUUUCUCACCAAUUUCCCUUCCGCCCGCGAAAACAACGAACCUGGGAAAUACCACGCGAAAGAACGAGGAACACGCGAGGUAUCAUCGACGUCUCAACAGGGAAGCCGCCAAUCGACGCGUAUCAUCGAAGUGAUGCACGCGUACACACAUCGAGCAACGACCGCUUAAACAACUUUCGUCGAUCGACAGUCGGCCCCCCCGGAUCGGUGGUUCGACGUCCAGAGAACCGACGACCGAUUUCCCGUCGACUGACACCUCGCGAAGGGGUAAGGCGACGGUGGGCAUCGAGGUGAAGCACACCGGACACACACACGCAAACAGUCCCCGUGGCUUGUGCAAGGUUCACGCGCAUGCUUCAGCAACGAGGCGGCUCAGUAACGACACCUCCCGCGACGUCAUCGUCCAACAUGUUCCCCCAACAGUAUUGUCUACGAUGGAAAUACCAUCACAGCAAC